UGGUACGGUGGCCGAAAACCGCCACUGCUGCAAAAAAAAAAAAAAGAACGAAAAAAAAAAAAAAGCCACAACAGAAGUUACUGAUCAGUAACUUCCGUUGUGGCUUUUUUUUCAUUCUUUUUUAUUUGCAGCAGUGGCUGUUCUCAGCCACCGUAUUA